GUCGUUCCGGUGUGGCUGAGUUGAGAGGAGCCUUAAACAGAGACGCACCGGAGAGGCUCUUGAGCUGACAACUUAAAUGUGUCUUGAGGAGGACAACAAAUACCAUUUAAAACGGCAGCCUCCAUCACUGGGGACUGUCGGUCCUUGUCUGCUGUUAAAGCCUUUUGGGAAAUUAACUGAACAGCCAGAGUUUUCAAAGGACAUCCGGUGGACAACACCACCAGUGCUCUCUGAGAUGGGAUUUACAGCCAGGGACGCUGAAGUAUCUCCAACUACAUCUCAGCAUGAAAAGAGAGUCCAGUCCCAGCUGUGGAGAUUUGUGACAGAGCCAACACUGAGCACAGACAUACGCUUGAGUCUGCGCACAUCAGUCAUACUGCAAAACGUCCCGCACAAGCUCUGAGCUCCCUGACAUUCCUCUCCUUGUGUGUGUGUACAGGCAUCAGCAAGGCUGAUCUAUAAUGUGUGCCCAGGCCAAGCCGAGCCAAGCUCCCUGGGUCCAGGCCUGGCCACCUCCCUCAGGCCUGGCUUCAGUGGGGGACCCUGCUAACCCACAUCUGUCCUCUUUUGGCAACGUCGCCUAAGACUUUGAAUCCAUUUUUUUCCCGUCUGGCUGCUUGCCUGGGUCCAAUUUGACAUGGGAGACAUAACUAGUAGCCACUGACCCGAAUAACAAAACUUCUAAGGUCAUGGAGGCAUGUAGACCUCGCUGUUCCUGACUUGGAAUAGCCGAUUUGGUUUCUUUUGAUCUAAAGCUCAUGAAAUAAAUGUAUAAAUGGAGAAGAAAAUACUCUGAUCUAAUAACAUAGUUGAAAUGAUUAGUUUAGACAGUUGAGGUCAAAUGAGAAUUAAACACAGACCUUAAAGAACUCUAAACACAGUGUUACAAACUUAUCUGUUAUCUACUUGAUUUCUCGCUCCAUGUGACGUCAGUUGUUAGUUUGAAUCCAUCUAUGCUAUUUACUUCUUGAUGUCACUCUUGAUUUCUUUCGCUCGUUUAUCCCAAAUCAUGCAGAAUGUUUUUGGUGAGGUUGACUGAAUGCACCAGAUUUCUCAGAAAAUGAUCAAACGAUAAUAGGGAGGGACAGUGUUGAGAAAAUUACACUGAUGUAAGCUCGCGCACCAUAUGGCAGCAGUGUUAUCGCCCACCUCAACAAGCCCUAAUGGAGAGCACUUAAGACUGAACAAUUUACUGCAAUAAAAAGACGAGUAAAGAAGUGGCUGCUUGUAUUCUGUGAAGCUGAAGGCAGCUGCCUGUCUCUUCCCACAUGCUGUCAACACUCAUCUGCCAUCGGCCCAUCAGUGAGCAAUCAAAUUACACUUGGUUUCUUUCACUAUUCAGGUACAUCUGUGCAUGCUUGUCUAGGUGUGUGUUUUACCUGCUAAUACAUUAGAGAGUUGGGACUGUUGCCAAAUCCCCCCACGCCUCAGAUGUCUUGUUUUUACCGAGCAACAGUCCAAAAUCCAAAGAUAUUAAGUUUAUUAAUCAUCAUCCUAGAAAACCAUCAAAUAUCCACAUCUGAGAAGCUGGAGCUUCACAUUUUUGGAAAAUUUUGCUUAAAAAAAUUACCUGACUAAUUACUUGAUGAUCAAAAUUGUUGAAUGUUAAUUUUUAGACAAUCGUGGUUAAUCAUUUUAUCUUGACUAGUACAGGCUGUUCUCAUGUGCUGUACUUACAUUUACCUAUGAAAAGUAAUGUAUCAGAAUUCAUGUGUAACCCAAGUAAUCGUGAAGGCUGUGAUAACAUGACCAAUGUGCUGACCGCAGUAAAGAAGGAAGAAGUAUAAAGAGUGAAAGUCUGUGUACUGAGGCAGGUUGGGGUGGUGGAUGGGUCAAACAAACAUAGGACUCUUCCCCAGGAGACCAGCAUUUGUGUCCAGUGAGAUACCUCGCAAACUUUGAGUCAUGUUAAGGUAUUAUGUGACAAAGCACCACCUGCUUUGUGCCACUGAGUUAGCUGGUAAUAGCUCGUUUGGGGUGUGUGUAGGUACGCUGCUGGUUUAGCUUUAACAAGUGUCUGUCGUUCUGCAGUGAUUCAAGCUUCAUCUCAUGAUUAUGAAACCUAAUAUUAAAUACUUGACAAUUUUUUUAAAAAGUU